rnacentral:lncRNA from 12 species
AUGUUCUCAAAGAGGAUCCUCCCUGGAGCCCAGCCAAGGACUCAGCUCUUUGGGCCCGUGCUCCCCACUCCCGGACCUAUUUCUAUCUCUCUCACUAGGCAUGGGCUGGCUCCCCCACGGAUGGAAAUGCUCUGGCCUCUCCUGCCAGGUGCCCCAACCCGGGCCCUGAGUGUCACACAACCAUUCCCUUGGAGGGAGAGAAGGAGAAUUCUGGCUCCUAUCCUCUCUCCUUCAUGGGCAAAAGGAGCUGGGUGUAUGUUCCAAAGACACCCACUCGAGGCCCUUCCUCUGGGACUCAUACUGUGUCACCUUCCGAAACCCUCCCCACGCUCCUUCAGCUGCAGAAUGGCACGCCACGAGAUGGGAAAUUCAAUAUGAAAAACAGUCGCAUACAUUUAAAUGCUGGUACCCGGAUGAGAAUCUUCCACAGGACUUUCAGUGCUUUCAGCUACUGAUUGCAGAUGCAGACUUCUGUUUACCAAGGGCGUCAUUAAGGCAAAGUCUUCAGCUUGACUCAGUGAUCGCUUGCUCUGGCACACAUGCUGACCAAUCUGCCUGCCAUGCUAAAUGAUGCCCCCUAGUUUAGGGUGCUAUUCCCACGGUCUCCAAAGGACCAGCCCCUGAGCUAGAACAUGAAAACCUAAUGCAGUGGCCAGUGGCUUUCCACGUAAAGAAAUGUCAGAGUGCCGCACAGAAACUCCAGCCAGAUAACCUUCAACAUCACCUGUUCCAUCUCCUUUGUGAAAUAGGCAUGUGAUCUGGAAUUAAAUGUGAUCAUCUCUGCAAAGCACUUAACACAGGACAUAGGCUAAUUGCUCAGGAAGUGUGAGCCCUGGCAGUAACGGUCAACACCAACAGGGGUGAAAGAGAUCCAAGCUCCUGCCCUCUCAGCUGAGUUCUCCUGGCUUCUUGCACUCAGAUGGUCAGUCAUAAGGUUGGAUCUGCUGUCCGUAAGUCUGUGCCAGAGGUAGCCAGCCUCCCAAAUGGCCUCGCUGCCAGGCCAGUGCAGUCCCCUCCACCCCUGAGCCAGGUACUGAAAUACAAGGGACUUACUUCUCCCUCCCCGCUGGGUUGUCUGGAGGAAGCAUGUCCAUGCCAUGAGGGGAUGCCCACGUUUCGAGGAGCCGAGCCCUGCUGGCAGCCAGAGCCUCCCAGAGGCACUUCCAUCUUCUGGUAACCUCAGCCCAGCCAACAUCCAUACAACCUCAAGAGACACCCAAAGCCAGAAGGAUGCUGCUAAGCCACUCCACAAUUCUUGGCCCUUAGAAAAUGGAUGUUUGUUAUUUUAUGCAGCUAAGUCUUGGGGUGCUUUGUUAUGUAGCAAGAGAUAACUCAUACAUGCCUUUUUGCUUAAACUUGAUUGAAUGCAUGUUUGUAC